CGCCCAGAAUCACGCUGAUGGCUCUGAGGAAAUGAGAAACAUCUGUAAUGAAACAUCUUUUAUCCAUGUAACUGGACACUUCAGAACUGGAGCUCCCUGAGGCGUGGCUGCGCUGUGAUUUGCUGCUGGUGGAGUGGUGGGAGGAGCCGAGGGCCUCGCAGUCGGGGCUCACAGCGCCCCCACUGGACUGGGAAGCCCGACGCUGGCGUGCCAUACUGCUCAGAACAUACACGGCAGAGGAGUCCAGAGGAGUGAAGUCAUAACUGUGGCUUUAUUUCAAUUCAGGAGGAUUAGUUCACAAUAACAACGCUGGUACCUCCUAAAAGUGUCAAAAACGACGGAGUCGUCGCAGUUGAUGGCGUCGCGGUGUCCUGGCGGCAGACACACGUCUCCGACCUGCAUGUCAUAGCAGGGGAUGCCGUGCUGUACAACGGGCUCAUGUGGACACGAUUACCUUCAUUGGGUUGGACCGUGUUUCUCCCUCGUCAUCAGAAUCUUCAUCCGACUCCAUCACGUCCUCUGCCUCCUGCCACUCCACAUUCGGACCUUUGUGGAAGCGUAAACGUGUUCCUAGAGGACGACGAGGGGCAGCACAGUGAGUGACAGAAGUUUGGAAACAAUGCCAGGCAGUGGAGGGCCAGGAAUGGGACCAUCCCAGGUCGUCAUCAUCGGACAGAGACGACAUGCAGAAAAUGCCAGACUCCGA